AUAUAUUAACAAGGGAGUAUGGCUUGGUGGUUGGUGCGUUGUUUGGGUGAGGAUGAGAUGACAGGUUCGAUUCCCCAUUCCCUCCUUUUUCAUUUCUUUUACGUAAAGCAUGGUUCUCCCUGCCUCUGCUCGUCCGAGGCUCUUUGCGCAUGUUCUUUGCAGCCGAGCUGUGCUUGUCCGAGCCAAGGCUCUUUGCGGCCGAGCUGUGCUUGUCCGAGCCAAGGCUCUUUGCGGCCGAGCUGUGCUUGUCCGAGCCAAGGUUCUUUGCGCAUGUGCCCUGCUCGUCCAAGUUUCCUUGCGCCCGUGCCUGUGCUCGUAGGCCCUGCUCGUCCAAGGUUCCUUGCACCUGUGCGACCCAGAGCUGAGGUCGUCCAAGAGACUGAGGCCCUGCUCGUCCGAGGUUCCUUGUGCCUGUGCUCGUCCGAGGUGCCGAGGCUGAGGUCGGACCACAGGUGCAAUGAGCCCAGAGGAGCCGAGGUCGGACAACAGGUGCGAUGAGCCAAGAGGCGCAUGAGUCGUGCUUCGCACCCUUAGCACGAGGAGCCACGUCGCUUCCUCGUUAGCACCUCUUCGCAACUGACCUCACAUCCGCUGAUCCUACUCUCAGUGUUUUUUCAAACUUUAUUACCAGUUUUGACCGUUGACCGAUUUUUGGUCGCGUCUGUUCCGAAGAAGUCUAUAAAUAGACCUCUUCGGAUUAGACAAAAAAAAAA